AUUGAACGCUGGCGGCAGGCCUAACACAUGUAAGUCGAACGAGUGGCGGACGGGUGAGUAAUGUCUGGGAAACUGCCCGAUGGAGGGGGGUAACUACUGGAAACGGUAGCUAAUACCGCAUACCAUCGGAUGUCCCCCAAUGGGAUUGGCGAGUGGGUGGGGUAACGGCCCACCUAGGCGACGAUCCCUAGCUGGUCUGAGAGGAUGACCAGCCACACUGGAACUGAGACACGGUCCAGACUCCUACGGGAGGAAGCAGUGGGGAAUAUUACACAAUGGGCGCAAGCCUGAUGCAGCCAUGCCGCGUGUAUGAAGAAGGCCUUCGGGUUGUAAAGUACUUUCAGCGAGGAGGCGUUACUCGCAGAAGAAGCACCGGCUAACUCCGUGCCAGCAGCCGCGGUAAUAC
rnacentral:rRNA from 1 species